ACGGGGGUGCAGCCACCUCACGUCUUUCCCUAGCCUGGCGCUAACAGCUUUCACGAUGCUUCCCCCCACUCAUCAUCAGAUGAUUCUCCCCACGAUGCCUGGCUAAUAAGUGGACAGAGCCCGGUGUCCAAGCUAUCGCCCAUCUGACACUUUCCAACGAAGUGCAGAACGCGGUGGGAAGAUACCAGGACCCAGACGCCGCUGAGUUUGCGCCCCGUUAAGAAUCGGCUGGGAACUACUCCGGAUCCGGGCAGAAGGCACGGUGAAGGGAAGAAAACUCUACUUGGCAUUUUGAUGCCAGAAGCCCGGGUCACAGCUGCAACUAUGAUUCCCCUCUCAUCACAAGGGUGCCUAAGUGCAUCCGAAGUGGCCCAGCCAGCAAUGUGAACCUCCAAAGAGAGGAUGUGGAAUAGGGGGUCCUGCAGAGGGUCUAGCAAGGCAGCUGAGGGCCAGCAUCGUGACAACAUAUCCUGUGACCAUGUAGCGUCCCCUUUCCACAGAUGGUGAGACCGAUGCCUGUGGGGGUCCCCGGCCAUCCAGGAGAGCAUCUGCACCAGAGGUUCGUUUGGCUCAUGGUUCUGGAGGCCGGGACACCUCAGAGCAUGGCGCCUACAUGGCACCUACAUCUUCAUGCCUUCUGGACCUCAUCAUCUGCUCCCUAUCAGAAUGGGCUCCUAGGCCUAGGCCUGAACAAACUCUGGCUCAGUCUCAAGGCGGUCAGGCAACAAGACCAGAGAGAACUCGAAUGGAAGAGACCCGUGACCCUGGUCCCGCGUUUCUUUCAGACCAACAGCAUCUAUCAUUGAUGCCUCCGUUUUCCUUGUGAAACCGGGCCGCAGAAAUGGAGGGAAUGCUUCCAGGACUGGUAUGUAUUUUGAAACUCUCAGCCGGACUGAAAGUGCCCAUCGAUAUAUUUUGGAGUGCAAUGUCUACUCCCUUACCAGUCAAAAUAAUUGAACAGUAAGAAGCAGCUGUUAAUGCAGGAGGCGUAUAACGGGAGACCCACAGCGCUUGGGAAUUUACAAUUUCAUAGCAAUUGAGGGUUUUUACAGCCAGCGUUGACAGUCAACCGUGCCCCCACAGCCCCCAACCACCCUCUGGAGCCAUCAAGAGGCCCAUCAACCCAGUGUGGGACACUGUGAAUGUCCACUGUGUCUGGAGCUGGUGUCACAGCAAUUUUAAAAAAUCAUCCUGCCAUGUUAUCAGCACAGCAAUAUUGCAGUUUCCUCUUGGUGGGUGGUGGUAAUGGGCAAGGGGGGAGGGGCUGUCUGCCAGGGAGCCAGAGCUGCAGGGUGGCAUGGGGCUGGCACCCCUCCCCCUGGGCACCCCCACCCCGCGUCCAUGCACUUGUCCUCUUAGUCUGGUCUGACACUUCUCCCUCCUGCCCAACAACAAAAAUGCCUGCCCCUGUCUCCUGCCCAGGGACAGCAGGUCCUGAGCAGAGGUGGUGCUGUGCUGCCUCUCACAGUCCCUGAAUCUCAGCCUGGACUCCAGCAGCACAGUAGAUUCUGUCAACUAUCAGCUUCUGUCAUCGGCCAGUGCCUGUGUGCACAGGUGUGCGUGUGGCGGGGAGGGGAGUGUGCAUGCACUCUCAUAUUUUUCUUAAGACGUAUUUUGUUUAUUUGAAAGGCAGAGUUACAGCGAGAGAGAGGGAGAGAGAGAAAGAGAUCUUCCAUCUGUUGGUUCACUCCUUGAAUGGUUGCAACAGCUGGGGCUGGGCAAGGUUGAAGUCAGAAGCUUCUUCCGGGUCUCCCAUGUGGCUGCAGGGGGCCCCAAGACCAGGAUCACCCUUCGCUGCUUUCCCAGGUGCAUUUGCAGAUCAGAAGUGGAGCAGCCGGGACUUGAACCAGCGCCCAUAUGGGAUGCCGGCAUCACAGCUAGCCUCACCCACUACCUCGCAAUGUCGGCCCCUCCACUUUUCAGUUGGAAUUUGAUUUUAAGGUUUUCCUGGAAUAACUGAUGUCCUUCCCAACAUUUGUGUCCACUGGAAGAAAUUUCUGAACCCAUGCCUAAUCAUUUGUCUUCCUCCCUGUGCUAAAUCGAGUAUCUUUACAAAGACCUCUACCCAAAAACAGAACACGUGGUGUGUUUAUGGGAAAGUGGGCUGAUUGGGAGGUGGGAA